rnacentral:rRNA from 1 species
GGCUCAGAACGAACGCUGGCGGCAAGCUUAACACAUGCAAGUCGAACGGAUUAUCUUUUAUAGCCUGCUAUAAAAGAUAAUUAGUGGCAGACGGGUGAGUAAUGCAUAGGAAUCUACCUAGUAGUAUGGGAUAGCCACUAGAAAUGGUGGGUAAUACUGUAUAAUCCCUGCGGGGGAAAGAUUUAUCGCUAUUAGAUGAGCCUAUGUUAGAUUAGCUAGUUGGUAGGGUAAAGGCCUACCAAGGCGAUGAUCUAUAGCUGGUCUGAGAGGAUGAUCAGCCACACUGGAACUGAGAUACGGUCCAGACUCCUACGGGAGGCAGCAGUGGGGAAUAUUGGACAAUGGGCGCAAGCCUGAUCCAGCUAUGCCGCGUGAGUGAGGAAGGCCUUAGGGUUGUAAAACUCUUUCAGUAGGGAAGAUAAUGACGGUACCUACAGAAGAAGUCCCGGCAAACUCCGUGCCAGCAGCCGCGGUAAUACGGAGGGGGCAAGCGUUGUUCGGAAUUAUUGGGCGUAAAGGGCAUGUAGGCGGUUCGGUAAGUUAAAGGUGAAAUGCCAGGGCUUAACCCUGGAGCUGCUUUUAAUACUGCCAGACUAGAGUCCGGGAGAGGAUAGCGGAAUUCCUA